GCCGUGAGCGUGCCCCGCUGCAGCUCGCUGCCCGCCAGGUCCGGGUGGCAGCGCAGGAUGCCCUCCUGGCCUGCGGAGAAGCACAGACACCGGCGGGAGCGCGUCAACCGCGCCCGUCCCGCACCGCGCACUCGAGGGGGCGCGUAGGCCGCGCCCGGCCCCCCUGCCCCGCCCCGCCCCGCCCGGCCCCAAAGAAGGCUGCGGGAGGGUGAAGUAGAGUACCCAGGCGGUGAUGUCCUGGCGGAACAGGGGCGCCCUUGGCGCGCCCCUCUAACAAGUCCUGGACCUUGCGCUUCUCGGUCCCCACUACAUUCGGUCGGGACCAGGAUCCAGGGGCGGGGCGGGAAGUGACACGUUUGUCUUUUGAGACCUUGGGUCAAGAAGAGCGGAGGAGAGAGAGGGCGGCCGCUGAGGCUCGGAAUUUACGACUAGGUCGGGAGGGAGCAGAGACGCGAUAAGGAUCCUGAGCUUUUCCUAUCUUUCAAAGUCCUUUGCUCUCAGGGGGGGCUUUGAUGUCUAAAGGGGCCGGACGCAAGGGCCUGAAGACUUCCUGCAAAAGCUCUGGAAUGGGUUUCGUUCUGCUCCAAAGGAGAACGGACAGGGGCGGGGUGCAUCCAUAGGGAUAACAUCCAUGGGGCUCGGCAAAUAAAUGCCCUGGAUUUUGUGACCCUAAGUGUGAGUUCUGGGUUUCUGGAAUCAGGCAUCCAAAGAGCCUUGCAGAUGAUUAACUGCAAAGAAACCCACCUCUAGCCAGAGUUCCACAGCCCUUUGAAUGAAAGUGGCUUUCCUCUAUUUAGGAAACUGCACCCACCCAUCCCCCACCGGCCCGGGACUUAUUCCCCUUCUCCGACUGUAGAUCCCAGAGGCCCCAGAGAACAGCGUUUACUUGAAGGAAAUCUUUGCAUAAUCUCCUAGGCCUAAAAUUGAAAAACUCUGGCGAGUUACCUGUGAUUUUCAGUCCCAGGGAUUUCACGGAGUUAGCGCUGGGCAAUCAUCUUGCUCAGCUCUCUAAAGUGAAAAUUAGAACCCUCGGGGCGAGGCAAGAUUCCAGAUAUGGUGAGCAGGGCGCUAUGAUUUGUAAAAUGCGGGUGACGCCUAACUUGCUUUAGAGUUGUGAGGAUUAGAGACAAUUCAUUUACUUAAAACACAUCGCCUAAUACCUAGUAAACAGAAACAGUCAUUAUUAGUUGUAGUAAACCCAGUGGAACUGGACUGAAGUGCCUCAGGAAGUACCUGUCUCUGUAUCUCAGUAAAGCGGUUGUCCGCCUCUGGCGCUGGGAAUAGGCGUGGGGUCUGUUGGAAAAGGCGCGCACGUAAAACACCGUUCAAUGAAUUUUAUCUCAAAGAAGCUGAAAAUUAAACCCCCUGUAAGGUAGACGUCCUCUUCCUCAAACUUAUUGUUUCUGUCUAAUAAAAGGAUGAUUGAUAGUGCACCAUCUAACUCAUGAACUAAUUUCUCCCUGAAAGACACGGAGAACUGGGGGUAACAUCCCCGUGUAAGAGAGGAUUCAGUGAAGGCUGAAAAAGAACUAGUGACCUGCCUAGGGUCACUCACCACACUGCGCCUGGACCCUCUACUCCAAAUCACAGGCGUUUUCAGGGCACGGCUGCCCCUGCAAGGUUAAGGAAAGUUCAAAACGAAAGUCAUGUCACCUAUAAUCCCAUCCCUCUAACACCACUGUUUUUUGUUUUUUGUGUGUUUUUUCAAGACAGCUCUGUCGCCCGGGAUGGAGUGCAGUGGGGCGAUCUUGGCUCACUGCAACCUCUGCCUCCUGGGUUCAAGCGAUCCUCCCGCCUCGGCCUCCUAAAGUGCUGGGAUUACAGGUGUGAGCCACCGAGCCGGCCUAACACCACUGUGAUAGAGCCCUUCUGCUGCGCCUAACAAGAAAAAGGUGUGAGGAAUCAGGUAGAGGAUGGUAGCUCGGAAGAAACAGAGCCUGACCUCACCUGGCCAGAUAUCCAAUCUUCAUUGCCCCAAACCACUGGACCCUUGAAAAACCUUUGCCUCAUCUUUAAUCUGUGGGAACUGAUUGGCUG
rnacentral:lncRNA from 1 species